rnacentral:rRNA from 1 species
AUUGAACGCUGGCGGCAGGCCUAACACAUGCAAGUCGAGCGGAUGAAGGGAGCUUGCUCCUGGAUUCAGCGGCGGACGGGUGAGUAAUGCCUAGGAAUCUGCCUGGUAGUGGGGGAUAACGUCCGGAAACGGGCGCUCAUACCGCAUACGUCCUGAGGGAGAAAGUGGGGGAUCUUCGGACCUUACGCUAUCAGAUGAGCCUAGGUCGGAUUAGCUAGUUGGUGGGGUAAAGGCCUACCAAGGCGACGAUCCGUAACUGGUCUGAGAGGAUGAUCAGUCACACUGGAACUGAGACACGGUCCAGACUCCUACGGGAGGCAGCAGUGGGGAAUAUUGGACAAUGGGCGAAAGCCUGAUCCAGCCAUGCCGCGUGUGUGAAGAAGGUCUUCGGAUUGUAAAGCACUUUUAGUUGGGAGGAAGGGCAGUAAGUUAAUACCUUGCUGUUUUGACGUUACCAACAGAAUAAGCACCGGCUAACUUCGUG